GAGUUUGAUCCUGGCUCAGAUUGAACGCUGGCGGCAUGCCUUACACAUGCAAGUCGAACGGCAGCACGGGAGCUUGCUCCUGGUGGCGAGUGGCGAACGGGUGAGUAAUGCAUCGGAACGUAUCCUGGAGUGGGGGAUAACGUAGCGAAGGUUACGCUAAUACCGCAUAUUCUGUGAGCAGGAAAGCGGGGGACCUUCGGGCCUCGCGCUUUUGGAGCGGCCGAUGUCGGAUUAGCUAGUUGGUGAGGUAAAGGCUCACCAAGGCGACGAUCCGUAGCAGGUCUGAGAGGAUGAUCUGCCACACUGGAACUGAGACACGGUCCAGACUCCUACGGGAGGCAGCAGUGGGGAAUUUUGGACAAUGGGGGCAACCCUGAUCCAGCCAUGCCGCGUGAGUGAAGAAGGCC
rnacentral:rRNA from 1 species